AUCUCUUCUCGGCCUUUUGGCUAAGAUCAAGUGUAGUAUCAAGGUGCCAACACAUUCUAUGUCUGGGGGUGAGGCUGCUUUCUGGUUCACAGAUGGUGCCUUUUAGCUUUGUUCUCACAGGACUAGCUAGUUGUCUGGAGUCUCUCUUGUAAGAACUCAUAUCCUAUUAGGUUGUCCUUAAUAUUAUAAUAAUAUUAUGUCAUGACUUAAUCAC
rnacentral:snRNA from 1 species